rnacentral:rRNA from 1 species
UGGGCGCAGCCUGAUGCAGCCAUGCCGCGUGUGUGAAGAAGGCCUUCGGGUUGUAAAGCACUUUCAGUCGUGAGGAAGGUGGUGUAGUUAAUAGCUGCAUUAUUUGACGUUAGCGACAGAAGAAGCACCGGCUAACUCCGUGCCAGCAGCCGCGGUAAUACGGAGGGUGCGAGCGUUAAUCGGAAUUACUGGGCGUAAAGCGCAUGCAGGUGGUUUGUUAAGUCAGAUGUGAAAGCCCGGGGCUCAACCUCGGAAUUGCAUUUGAAACUGGCAGACUAGAGUACUGUAGAGGGGGGUAGAAUUUCAGGUGUAGCGGUGAAAUGCGUAGAGAUCUGAAGGAAUACCGGUGGCGAAGGCGGCCCCCUGGACAGAUACUGACACUCAGAUGCGAAAGCGUGGGGAGCAAACAGGAUUAGAUACCCUGGUAGUCCACGCCGUAAACGAUGUCUACUUGGAGGUUGUGGCCUUGAGCCGUGGCUUUCGGAGCUAACGCGUUAAGUAGACCGCCUGGGGAGUACGGUCGCAAGAUUAAAACUCAAAUGAAUUGACGGGGGCCCGCACAAGCGGUGGAGCAUGUGGUUUAAUUCGAUGCAACGCGAAGAACCUUACCUACUCUUGACAUCCAGAGAACUUUCCAGAGAUGGAUUGGUGCCUUCGGGAACUCUGAGACAGGUGCUGCAUGGCUGUCGUCAGCUCGUGUUGUGAAAUGUUGGGUUAAGUCCCGCAACGAGCGCAACCCUUAUCCUUGUUUGCCAGCGAGUAAUGUCGGGAACUCCAGGGAGACUGCCGGUGAUAAACCGGAGGAAGGUGGGGACGACGUCAAGUCAUCAUGGCCCUUA